UACGUAGGGUCCGAGCGUUGUCCGGAAUUAUUGGGCGUAAAGAGCUCGUAGGCGGUCCGUUAAGUCGGAAGUGAAAUCUCAAGGCUCAACCUUGAAAUCGCUUUCGAUACUGGCGGACUUGAGGCAGGUAGGGGAAGGUGGAAUUCCUGGUGUAGCGGUGAAAUGCGUAGAUAUCAAGAGGAACACCGAUGGCGAAGGCAGUGUUCUGGGCCAGUACUGACGCUGAGGAGCGAAAGCGUGGGGAGCAAACGGG
rnacentral:rRNA from 1 species